GAACAACGAUUGGUCCGAAGGCGCGGCGGUGGCGCGGGGAGGCGGAUCCAGGACCGCAGCUCCGGCUGGCCCGCGCCGCCAUUUUGGAUUGUAUCCUGCACCAGUUCAACUUAUAGUUCAGUUUUUGGAACAGGCUUCCAAACCUUCAGUUAAUGAACAAAACCAAGUUCAACCUCCGCCUGAUAACAAGAGAAAUCGUAUUUUAAAACUACUUGCUCUUAAAGUUGCUGCACAUUUGAAGUGGGACUUAGACAUAUUAGAGAAAAGUUUGUCUGUUCCAGUAUUGAAUAUGCUACUAAAUGAACUACUCUGCAUCAGUAAAGUUCCUCCUGGGACAAAGCAUGUAGACAUGGAUCUGGCCACUUUACCUCCGACCACUGCCAUGGCUGUACUUCUCUAUAAUAGAUGGGCAAUUAGGACAAUUGUUCAAAGUAGUUUUCCAGUCAAACAGGCAAAACCCGGACCCCCUCAGUUAAGUGUUAUGAAUCAAAUGCAACAGGAAAAAGAGCUAACAGAAAACAUUUUGAAAGUGCUCAAAGAACAAGCUG
rnacentral:lncRNA from 1 species